UACGUAGGGCGCAAGCGUUGUCCGGAAUUAUUGGGCGUAAAGAGCUCGUAGGUGGCUUGUCGCGUCUGCCGUGAAAGCCCAUGGCUUAACUGUGGGUCUGCGGUCGAUACGGGCAGACUAGAGUUCGGUAGGGGAGUCUGGAAUUCCUGGUGUAGCGGUGAAAUGCGCAGAUAUCGGGAGGAACACCAGUGGCGAAGGCGGUUGCCUGGGGCUUUGCUGACGCUGAGGCGCGAAAGCGUGGGGAGCGAUCCGG
rnacentral:rRNA from 1 species